AUACGAUAAUGGCAAACCCGUUCGAAAGACGGGGACGCAAUGCUUCAGGCCUAAAGGUUUUUAUCCCAUGGCGGCUGAGCCGCCGAA
rnacentral:ncRNA from 1 species